AGUUCUAGGUAAAAUAAUGAUGAUGACAAUUUUUACCUAUAUGUCUUGACCAAAUCUCGUGCCAGCAGUCGCGGUAAUACGUGGAAGACUAGUGUUAUUCAUCUUUAAUAGGUUUAAAGGGUACCUAGACGGUAAAUUUAGCCCAAAAAGGGUACGGAUUUACUAGAGUUUUAUGUGAGGAGGGGAGUACUUGUAGAGUAGAGAUGAAAUUUUUUGAUACUAUVAGGAAACUGGUAACGGCGAAAGCAACCUUCUAUGUAUAAACUGACGUUUAGGGACGAAGGCUUGGGUAGCAAACAGGAUUAGAUACCCUAGUAGUCCAAGCAGACAAUUCUGAAUGUCAUAGAUCAGAUUUUUUUGGUCUAUAAAUGAUAGAUUAGAUUUUUUUUGGUCUAUAAAUGAAAGUGCAAGCAUUCCACCUUAAGAGUAAUGUGGCAACACAGGAAUUGAAAUCAUUAGACCGUUUCUGAAACCAGUACUGAAGUAUGUUGUUUAAUUCGAUAAUCCACGAAAAACCUUACCACAACUUGAAUAUUAUUAAUUUAAUACAAGCGUUGCACGGCUGUCUUCAGUUAAUGUCGUGAGAUUUUGGUUAACUCCAUUAAAUUAACGUAAACCCUUACUU
rnacentral:rRNA from 1 species